GACCUUGUAGCUCAGCUGCUAUAGCGUGCGCGUACAAAGCGUUGGCAGCGUCCAUGCGUGGGUUCGAAUCCCACCAAGGUUA
rnacentral:tRNA from 1 species